CUUAUCUAUGCAACUUCAGCUCCACUUCAAUAAUAACAAAGGAGCCCGCUUAGCCACGUAUCUGGAAGCUCCUGCUCCUUUCCCCCAGGUACAAUUAGCGUACCAGACCACUAGGUCCUGUACAUACUACCCUACCCAAACACACCGCCCCACCUCCCCCCCCAACCCCUGGUCCUCCCCUGCCAACAUCUACCAACACAGCGAUCCAUAAUCAACCAGACUGAGCUAACAGACUCCCAACAGCCUCUCCACACCCUAUAACACACGAUAACAAAUAUGCUACUCUACUCACACAACACCAAGGGCCUUAACACGCCACAUAAACGACGUAUGCUCCUCAAUGACAUCAAACAAACCAAAGCAGACAUAGUCUGCUUACAAGAAACGUACUUUGUCUCCACCAAAAUCCCAACCUUCGCCCUUAGGGACUAUCCCACACAAUUUCACGCUACCCACACCUCCAAAUCCAGAGGGGUAUCCAUACUGCUACACAACUCACUAACUGUAGAAACCCUCCGGGUCAAAAAAGACAACCAAGGACGGUACAUAAUCCUACACUGCAGAAUCAAUGAGCACCCAUAUGUUCUAGUAUGCCUCUACAGCCCAAACGACCAACAACGUAACUUCUUACAUAAAAUUCUCACCAAGCUACCCGAAGAUGUGAACGACCCCAAGAUCAUAUGUGGGGAUUUUAAC